AUACAUGCAAGUCGAGCGAGGCAGCAAUGCCGAGCGGCGAACGGGUGAGUAACGCGUAAGCAAUCUGCCCCAUAUCAGGAAAUACCCGUGCCAACGCGCGGUUAAUGUCCAGGAGAGUGGCCUUCCGCAUGGAAGGUUGACUAGAGAUUUAUCGGUAUGGGAUGAGCUUGCGUCCGAUUAGCUAGUUGGCGGGGCAACGGCCCACCAAGGCGACGAUCGGUAGCCGGCCUGAGAGGGUGAUCGGCCACAUUGGGACUGAGAUACGGCCCAGACUCCUACGGGAGGCAGCAGUAGGGAAUAUUGCACAAUGGGGGAAACCCUGAUGCAGCAACGCCACGUGUGGGAAGAAGCAUUUCGGUGUGUAAACCACUGUCAUGAGGGAAUAAGGCCCGCCUUCGGACGGGAUUGAAUGUACCUUGAGAGGAAGCACCGGCAAACUUCGUGCCAGCAGCGGC
rnacentral:rRNA from 1 species